GAUGAACGCUAGCGGCAGGCUUAAUACAUGCAAGUCGAGGGGCAGCAUGAAUGUAGCAAUACAUUUGAUGGCGACCGGCAAACGGGUGCGGAACACGUACACAACCUUCCUAUAAGUGGGGAAUAGCCCAGAGAAAUUUGGAUUAAUACCCCGUAACAUAAUGAUGUGGCAUCACAUUAUUAUUAUAGCUACGGCGCUUAUUGAUGGGUGUGCGGCUGAUUAGAUAGUUGGCGGGGUAACGGCCCACCAAGUCUACGAUCAGUAGCUGAUGUGAGAGCGGGAUCAGCCACACGGGAACUGAGACACGGGCCCGACUCCUACGGGAGGCAGCAGUAAGGAAUAUUGGUCAAUGGACGCAAGUCUGAACCAGCCAUGCCGCGUGAAGGAUUAAGGUCCUCUGGAUUGUAAACUUCUUUUAUCUGGGACGAAAAAAGGCGAUUCUUCGUCACUUGACGGUACCAGAUGAAUAAGCACCGGCUAACUCCGUGCCAGCCGCCGCCGUAACAC
rnacentral:rRNA from 1 species